rnacentral:rRNA from 1 species
UAACGCUGAGGUGUGAUGACGAGGCACUACGGUGCUGAAGUGACAAAUGCCCUGCUUCCAGGAAAAGCCUCUAAGCAUCAGGUAACAUCAAAUCGUACCCCAAACCGACACAGGUGGUCAGGUAGAGAAUACCAAGGCGCUUGAGAGAACUCGGGUGAAGGAACUAGGCAAAAUGGUGCCGUAACUUCGGGAGAAGGCACGCUGAUGGUAGGUGAAGCGACUUGCUCGUGGAGCUGAAAUCAGUCGAAGAUACCAGCUGGCUGCAACUGUUUAUUAAAAACACAGCACUGUGCAAACACGAAAGUGGACGUAUACGGUGUGACGCCUGCCCGGUGCCGGAAGGUUAAUUGAUGGGGUUAUCCGUAAGGAGAAGCUCUUGAUCGAAGCCCCGGUAAACGGCGGCCGUAACUAUAACGGUCCUAAGGUAGCGAAAUUCCUUGUCGGGUAAGUUCCGACCUGCACGAAUGGCGUAAUGAUGGCCAGGCUGUCUCCACCCGAGACUCAGUGAAAUUGAACUCGCUGUGAAGAUGCAGUGUACCCGCGGCAAGACGGAAAGACCCCGUGAACCUUUACUAUAGCUUGACACUGAACACUGGUCCUUGAUGUGUAGGAUAGGUGGGAGGCUUUGAAGUGUGGACGCCAGUCUGCAUGGAGCCAUCCUUGAAAUACCACCCUUUAAUGGCUGGUGUUCUAACGUGGGCCCCUGAUCGGGGUUGCGGACAGUGUCUGGUGGGUAGUUUGACUGGGGCGGUCUCCUCCUAAAGAGUAACGGAGGAGCACGAAGGUCAGCUAAUCCUGGUCGGACAUCAGGAGGUUAGUGCAAUGGCAUAAGCUGGCUUGACUGCGAGCGUGACGGCGCGAGCAGGUGCGAAAGCAGGUCAUAGUGAUCCGGUGGUUCUGAAUGGAAGGGCCAUCGCUCAACGGAUAAAAGGUACUCCGGGGAUAACAGGCUGAUACCGCCCAAGAGUUCAUAUCGACGGCGGUGUUUGGCACCUCGAUGUCGGCUCAUCACAUCCUGGGGCUGAAGUAGGUCCCAAGGGUAUGGCUGUUCGCCAUUUAAAGUGGUACGCGAGCUGGGUUUAGAACGUCGUGAGACAGUUCGGUCCCUAUCUGCCGUGGGCGCUGGAGAAUUGAGGGGGGCUGCUCCUAGUACGAGAGGACCGGAGUGGACGCAUCACUGGUGUUCGGGUUGUCAUGCCAAUGGCAUUGCCCGGUAGCUAAAUGCGGAAGAGAUAAGUGCUGAAAGCAUCUAAGCACGAAACUUGCCCCGAGAUGAGUUCUCCCUGACCCUUUAAGGGUCCUGAAGGAACGUUGAAGACGACGACGUUGAUAGGCCGGGUGUGUAAGCGCAGCGAUGCGUUGAGCUAACCGGUACUAAUGAACCGUGAGG